rnacentral:rRNA from 1 species
CAGCCGCCGCGGUAAUACGAAGGGGGCUAGCGUUGCUCGGAAUGACUGGGCGUAAAGGGCGCGUAGGCGGCGAUCAAAGUCAGGCGUGAAAUUCCUGGGCUCAACCUGGGGGCUGCGCUUGAUACUUGGUUGCUUGAGUGGGGAAGAGGGUCGUGGAAUUCCCAGUGUAGAGGUGAAAUUCGUAGAUAUUGGGAAGAACACCGGUGGCGAAGGCGGCUACCUGGACUGACACUGACACUGAGGCGCGAAAGCGUGGGGAGCAAACAGGAUUAGAUACCCCUGUAGUCCCUGUCUCUUAUAC